GGUUUAAUUACCCAAGUUUGAGGUAAUUGAAUGUUUCAGCCCAGAAUUAUAUCUGCUGUGGCUUGAAAUGAAAUUUUGGAAAGUCCUACAUUAGUGGGACAAC
rnacentral:other from 11 species